GUGGGCCGGCUCGCGCGGCGGCCGUGGGGCUUCUGCGGGGUACCCGGGAAGGGGCGCAGAUUAACAGAUGUGCAUGAGGAGGUGCCUGGUCGGCCUCACGUUUUGUACCUGCUACCUGGCUUCUUACCUCACGAACAAGUAUGUCCUGUCUGUCUUGAAAUUUACCUACCCUACAUUAUUCCAAGGGUGGCAGACAUUAAUUGGUGGACUUUUGCUUCAUGUGUCAUGGAAACUGGGCUGGGCGGAGAUCAACAGCAAUUCAAGAUCUGAUGUUUUGACAUGGCUUCCUGCUUCAGUGCUGUUUGUGGGUAUCAUCUAUGCUGGUUCCAGAGCACUGUCCAGACUGGCCAUUCCUGUGUUUCUCACUUUGCAUAAUGUAGCCGAAGUUAUAAUCUGUGGGCACCAGAAGUGUUUUCAGAAAGAGAAAACAUCUCCUGCGAAGAUCUGUAGUGCCCUCUUUCUCCUGGCUGCCGCAGGGUGCCUGCCCUUCAACGACUCCCAGUUUGAUCCAGAUGGUUAUUUCUGGGCUAUAAUUCACUUAUUCUGCAUAGGGGCUUAUAAGAUACUACAGAAAUCCCAGAAAUCCAACGCGUUAAGUGACAUUGACCAGCAGUACUUAAACUAUCUAUUCAGCGUGGUGCUCCUGGCGUUUGCAUCUCACCCCACAGGUGAUCUCCUCAGCGUCCUGGACUUUCCGUUCCUGUAUUUCUACAGAUUCCAUGGCAGCUGCUGUGCCAGUGGAUUUUUAGGAUUCUUUCUCAUGGUCAGCACAGUGAAGCUAAAAAGCCUUAUGACCCCAGGGCAGUGUGCAGCCUGGAUUUUCUUUGCUAAGGUGAUCACGGCUGGUUUAUCGAUAUUGCUGUUUGAUAUGAUCCUGACCAGGGCCACCGUGGGAUGCCUCCUGCUCGGCGGCCUUGGAGAGGCCUUGCUGGUUUUCUCAGAGCGGAAGGGCUCCUAAACACAGAGAAAGUGGACUCCCAGGCUGCAGGUGGAGAACACCGCCCUGGGCUUUGGAGCUCCCUGUCCCGGAGAUAGAAAGAAGAAAGCAAGAACGAUGAGACACUGCUGCUCGCUGCGUCGAGGAGAACUUCUUCUGGGGUCUCUGGGCCGCUGCAGAGAGUGGACUGUGUCGAGAGGCUCCCCCAAGUCCUGCUGACUGUGCUGUGAGCCCAGCUGUGCAGAAACAGAUGCAGGAUUUCACCUGUAUGGGGAUGGCUCCGCCCACCUUGAUUGCCACGCAAGCCUCCUUACUAAACACCCUUCCCAGAUAAGCGUUCACUGCCUGCUAGUGGGCCCAAGCUCUGACUUGCUUGCUGCCAGUAGGAGGUGAUAGAAGCUAUGAUCCCAGACUUCCAAGGCCAGGUUGAAAGCCUUGCAGCGCCUGCUUUGAUCUUCUGGAACGGCCUUUGGGAGUCCUGAGCUGCCUUGUAGAAGUCUGACUCCCCUGAGGCGGCUGUGCUGGAGAGACCAGGUAUAGGAGCCCUGUAGACAGUCGCUGCUGCACCCAGCCUUCUCACCACCCCACCAGGCUACCAGACAUGUGAGGGGAGCUGCCCUGGACCUUCUAGGACCAGCCCAUCUGCCAGCUGAGUGCCGUCAAGUGAUCUCAGUCAAUGCCACGUGGUGCAGAAGCAUCAGAGCCUGCAUGAAUGCCUGACCACAAAAUCAUGAGCUACAGCAAAAUUGUUUGAAGCCACUAAGUUUUGGGCAAACUUGUUAUACGACAGAGAGCCUCGAAUUCCCUUCGUCUCAGGUGGAUCCAAUCUGAGCACUCUGAGACCCUCCCCUCAAUAGACUUGUUCCAGGAGAACCAGUCUGCUCCAGCUGCCUUCCGCCCUGGAGCUGCCUGGAGAAGGGGGCCCCCGCCGCGUGUCCAGGGCUUUCCCAGACCCCCAUUACAGGGCAGGAUCUGUGCCUUUGGGUCAUAGAACCUCAUUCACUCAUUCAUUCAUUCAAAAAAUACCGAGAACCCACUAUGUGCCAGGCUCUGUUUUGGGCUUGUGGAUAUAUCUGUAAAUAAGAUGAGUCGCCCUGAAGCUUACUUUCUAGGGGUGGAGACAGACGAUAAACAAGUAAAUAAUGGAAUUUCAG